rnacentral:misc_RNA from 1 species
AACGCACAUUGCGCCCACUAGUAUUCUGGCGGGCAUGCCUGUCCGAGCGUCGUUUCAACCCUCAAGCCCCUCCGGGGGCCUGGCGUUGGGGAUCGGCCCCGCUCCGGCGGCCGGCCCCGAAAUGUAGUGGCGGUCUCGCCGCUGCCCCCUCUGCGUAGUAGAAACACCUCGCAUUGGGACGCGGCGGGCCCACGCCGUUAACCAGAUGAAUUUUUUCAAGGUUGACCUCGGAUCAGGUAGGAAUACCCGCUGAACUUAA